rnacentral:rRNA from 1 species
UACGGAGGGUGCGAGCGUUGCUCGGAAUUACUGGGCGUAAAGCGUACGCAGGCGGCUUGGUGUGUCGGAUGUGAAAGCCCCGGGCUCAACCCGGGAACGGCAUUCGAAACUGCCGAGCUGGAGUUCGGGAGAGGGAAGUGGAAUUCCUGGUGUAGAGGUGAAAUUCGUAGAUAUUCGCAAGAACACCAGUGGCGAAGGCGGCUGACUGGUCCGGUUCUGACGCUGAGGCGCGAAAGCGUGGGGAGCAAACAGG